CUACUUUAUAGUUUUUAAUGGCUCUUACAAGUUUUUGUGAGUAUACCAAUGAUUAUUUUUGACAAAAACUCACAAAAACUUGUAAGAGCCAUUAAAAACUAUAAAGUAGU